AACUUUCCUUUCGCUUUUCCUUUACAAACUUUUGGUGCUGUUUUGUUAUAUUAGAUGCUAUUUUCUUUCUUUUUCUUCUUAGAUUUUCUUGCGAUUGAAUUAAUUUCUUUAUUUAAGACGAGUGUAUCGAUUGCUUAAUCUGGAUCUGUUGCUACUGCUUAUCAAAAUUGUAAAUUAUUAUGAUAAUUAGACAAUAAAGGAGGCUUUUUAUUGGUGGAAAAUGUAAAUCACUUGAUUUUGUAGUUUCCUUUUGUAACUUCACUAACCGAUCUUUGAGUACUGGCCUGAGUGCAGACCCCGCAGAGAGACUUUACGAUUAAGAAUUUUUUAUUAGAGAUUUAUAAUGAAAAUGUCAGGAACCUGCUGAACACAGAAUCAGAAAGGUGCUGUGGUCGAGAAGUUGGUAGAAGAAACAACAACCAAUGAUCAGCAUUUGAGGCAUCUUAUAAGUAUGUGUGACUAGUGAAGAACUGUAUCUUUGCGUUGGCCUUUCUGAAAUCAUCCAUGAUUUUCAGAAUUUUGUAGACCUUGCUGGAAGUGAAAGAGCUUCACAGACACAUGCAGAUGGGGCGAGGCUCAGAGAAGGCGAUCAUAUCAAUCUUAAUUUGAUAACUCUCACAACUGUGAUAAGAAAGCUCAGGUCAGACUUGAAUAUUAGCAUACUUUUUUAUUGUCAAGUUUUAUCUCACAUCUUUCUUUUUUCUCCAACUUUUACAUGUAGAAUAUAUCCUUCGUCGUACGAUACUUGCAUGUUGUAAUGGAUUCUAAGAUAACACCUAAGUGCUACUGUCAGAGCCAUCUAAGCAAGUUCAAUAAGUACUUGCGAAAAGAAGCGGUCAUAUACCCCACCGGGACUCCAGCUUCCCGACAAGUUUUGGAAAAUGAGAUUGAAAACAGAGAACUAGAAAAUGAAGACUUCAUUUCAUAUCAGGCGAGACACAGCCAGAGUCUAUGAAAGAUACUUCUACAAUAUGUGGAGACGUUUAAUCAAAGGAAGGAACUCCAGGCUAUCGUCAUUCUAUUUCAGGUAAUAUGAAGAAAAUGCAGAAGAUGGUUGAGAAUGCAGCAGAGGUGACUGUGAGAAGCAUAAGAGCUUAUGUGACAUAAUUGAAGGAACAUGUUGCCAAACUGCAAUACCAAAAGCAGCUACUUGUUUGCUAGGUAUAGUAUUUGCACUACCAACAGACCCUGGAUUAUAGGGUGGAAUCCAAUUUCAAACCUUCUACAUUGUGACAAUUGCAUUUUUCAUUUGUAAGUAUUUCCUAUUUCUGUACAAGUAAAUGAAUUUUAGAGGUUUUUGCUCAAAUUAUGGUGUGACCAAUGCGCAUGAAGGGAGAGGGUCUCGAUAUGGCAAUCUUAAUAUUUUAAUAACAAAAGAAUUGAUU